UGGUCACACUGCGUGUUUUUUGUCAAAAUAUUAGAAAAAAUUUUAUUUUCGUUUCGUCACUGCACGGAUAUUGCUUCCGAAAGUUUUAAUCAGCGCUCCGCUUGUCCGCCCAUCGAACAAACACCAAACGCGGUUUCGGUGAUGUGCAAAACGAAAGCAGAAGACAUUUUUUGUUCUUAAAUUUUACUUACGGCGCACGCACACAUCCACACACGCGAAUACAGAGAGUCAAUCACACACACGCGCACCCCGCUUGAGGAGAAUCAGCAGCACACACACACACGUCCACAACCAGCAAAAAAAAGCUACGAACGAGGAGCCAACGACGUCGGUUGAGCGGCGGCAAGGCGGGCAAGCGACGAGGAAGACCAUCAACUGUAAAUUUGCGAGGACACGCAUCUCUUUGUGGCAGAAGAGAGCAGACCGCAGCCAAUUCCUCCCAACUCCAGCACACACACAGUAUGUUCAGUAGAAAUGGGCGGAUUCCUGGAUAAGCCGAAAACCGCCAAACACAAUGAUCAAGGUGAGGGCAACAAGCUGCUCUUUGGCGUCAGUUCAAUGCAGGGCUGGCGCUGUGAAAUGGAGGAUGCCUACUAUGCUCGCGUGGGGCUGGACAAUGCCCUGAACGACUGGAGCUUCUUCGCGGUGUUCGAUGGGCAUGCCGGUUGCAAGGUGUCGGAGCACUGUGCCAAGCAUCUCCUGGACAGCAUUGUGCACACGGAGGAGUUCAUAAGCGGCGACCAUGUGAAGGGCAUACGCACCGGCUUCCUGCGCAUCGACGAGGUGAUGCGCGACCUGCCCGAGUUCACCAAGGAUUCCAAGUGCGGCGGCACCACAGCCGUGUGCGCCUUUGUCAGCUCGACGCAGGUUUAUAUCGCCAACUGUGGGGACUCGCGCGCCGUGCUGUGUCGCCAGGGGGCGCCAGUGUUUGCCACGCAGGACCACAAGCCCGUUCUGCCCGAGGAGAAGGAGCGCAUACACAAUGCCGGCGGCAGUGUGAUGAUCAAGCGCGUCAACGGCACCCUGGCCGUGUCCCGAGCCCUUGGCGACUACGACUUCAAGAACGUCAAGGAGAAGGGGCAGUGCGAGCAGCUGGUCUCACCCGAGCCGGAAAUCUUCUGCCAAAGCCGCCAGGACACCGACGAGUUCUUGGUGCUCGCCUGCGACGGCAUAUGGGAUGUGAUGACCAACGAGGAUGUGUGCAGCUUCAUCCACUCGAGGCUCAAGGUGACCAGCGAUCUAGUGAGCAUUGCCAAUCAGGUGGUGGACACUUGCUUGCACAAGGGCAGCCGCGAUAACAUGAGCAUCAUUAUAAUUGCCUUCCCCGGAGCACCGAAGCCAACCGAAGAGGCGAUAGAGGCUGAGCUUCGGCUGGAGAAACAAAUCGAGAAGAUCACAAGAGACGAGAUAGAGUCUAACCAGAUAACCGAUUACCUGGAUCUGCUGAAGUGUAUGCAGAACAAAGACGACAUUGAAGGUCUUCCACCCGGCGGCGGUUUGCAGUCCAAAUAUCACGUUAUCGAGCGUACAUUCAAACAAGAGUUUCCGGAUCGACCAUGUGAACUGUAUGCAUUUGAAGAUAUAUGAGUUUUGUAAUACCUAAUAUUGUUCAUUUCCAAACCAACUAUAAUCAAACAAACAAUCAGUCAACCAAGCAGCAAGUGAACAAACGAUAACUAAACACAUCCCCAGCUUCUUAUAUACUAAAUAGCCCAACGCAUUGAGUUGCAGACAAACCAUUAAAUAGAAACCAGUUAAACAAACGCAGCAACCUGAACAGAAAGAUCUUUAAAUGCCACAGCAAACCACAAACACAACACACCCAACAACCACACACAACAUGAACGAAACGAUGCGAAACAAACAAAACACACACCAAACAGUUUUCUACUUUGAUAAACGCUAAAGAAAAACCUACUAAUAAUGAUAAUAAUAAGCAUUACGAUACAUUUAUAGUUUAUAUGAGAAGGCCUGUCCUGUCCGCGGCCUCCACACUCCACACUGAACAGUACCACAGCCACACACUUACGCAGAUACACCAGAACACAAUUUACGAAUACCGACGCUUUGAUAGAUGAGUUCUAGAACCGAACUCCGAUAGCAGAGAAAUUCAAUAAGAUGCAGUGGAUGGCUCAAAGCCAACACACCACCCAAUAAGGAUAUAUAAGGAUCCCCACUCCACACACUGAAAACCAACACUUAAUAAGCAAGCGGGGAGACACAUGUGUCUGAGCACAGACCACGGCCAACUCAAUGUGAAUGUUUCAACCUCUGUGACUGUGUCUGUGACUGUGUGAUCUAUCGUUCCGUCACUUCUCAUUAAAUAACAAUUAAAAAAAAAACCAAUCAUCAAACCAACUGUCUACUGUUCCCGCCUCUGAGCUCCUCCAGUUUAGUCGUAAAGGAAAAGAGAGAAAAACGCGAAUUAAAACUAACAUUUAAAGCGAAGUGAAAUCAAUUUGAGGAAGGAUAAUAUUGCGAGAGAGCCCCGCCCCUCGCCGCAAAACAUUUGUGUACAAGAGAGAACGUUUAUUAUUUAAAAGCAAAGCAAAACAAAACAAAACAAAAAACGAUGUAUUAAUUAAUAUUGAUUCCGAAACCAUGCGGACUUUUGUAAGUUGUAAAAUGUUUGUUACUGAAAAAACACUUUUUGUUCACUUUUAUAUAUGUAUAUGGAAAAAGAUGUCGCCAGCCUAUUGCGAACACUUAAUAAUGUAAAGUAAAAAUUAAAAAAUGUUAAACUAAAGAAAACAAAAAAAAUGGAAAAACCCAAAAUAGCAAAACAAACCUGUAACUAUCUAUAUAUGGAAAUGCGAAAAAGUAAAGCCUAAACCUUAAGGAAAACAAAAGAACGAAAGAAAGAAAGCGAUUAAGAAAAUUUACAAACAAAAAAAAAAAUGCAAAGAGAAUCCACAAUAAUGUCCGAUCUGAAAGAAACGAGAAUGAAAGCUAAGAACUAUUAAUUUAUAAGCAAAGUUGAUGAUGAAACCUUGAGAGAGAAAAGCAAAAUUACGCUCGAGUUUGUAGUAAAUGUUGAUACAA